UACGGAGGGGGCUAGCGUUGUUCGGAAUUACUGGGCGUAAAGGGCUCGUAGGCGGCCAACUAAGUCGGAUGUGAAAUCCCCAGGCUCAACUUGGGAACUGCAUCCGAUACUGGAUGGCUUGAAUUCGGGAGAGGGAUGCAGAAUUCCAGGUGUAGCGGUGAAAUGCGUAGAUAUCUGGAGGAAUACCGGUGGCGAAGGCGGCUUCCUGGACCGACACUGACGCUGAGGCGCGAAAGCUAGGGGAGCAAACGGG
rnacentral:rRNA from 1 species